GCAGACACAUUCCAGCCAAUCAGCAGCAGACCCUCCCUCCCAGACCCUCUCACCUCCUGGACAGCAUCCAUUGUGAAGCUGCAUUCUUAGUAAACUGUCCAGGAGGUGGGAGGAUCUGGGAGAGAGGGUCUGCUGCUGAUUGGCUGGAAUGUGUCUG